rnacentral:lncRNA from 1 species
CUGAUCUACUGAUCAUAGUUUUCCAGGGAAGAGUAAAUAUGAAGAGAGUGAGAGUGGGACACAGAGGGCAGAGGAGAAAGAGGAGAGAGCUGUUAUCUGUGAGUGAAGGCAGAUAUCUAUGUGCAUUAUCCAAUGUUCCUAGGACUGUGCAGUCAAAAUUCAUGUGAAAGCAUGUUCGAAGGAUUCAAAAGGCUCGGUGGCUGGACAGAGUCAGGAAGACUCUAAGGUACAGACCUUCGGACUGGAUAAAUGCUCCUGGGAUGAUUUAGCCUAGGCGAGGAAGCAGAAAGAUAGAGGUUCAAAGAUUUUACUUCCUGCUACUGUGGCAACGUGGGAUUUGAGAGUCACUGUCAUCCAGUGUCACGUGAAUAGGGCUGGAGUGCAGGCGCGAUCUGGGCUCACUGCAGCCUCCACCCCCUGGCUCAAGCCUCCCACCCCAGCCUCCCAAGUAGCUGGGAUUACAGGUGCGUGUCACCCAGCUAAUUUCUGUAUUUUCUUUUAGAGACAGGGUCUUGCUAUGUUGCUCAGGCUGGCCUGGAUCUCUGCAGUUCAAGCAAUCGGCCAGUCUCCGCCUCCCAAAGUGCUGGGAUUACAGGCAUGAGCCACCUUACCUGGCUAUUUUUUUGUAUUUUUUUGCAGAGAACUCCUGGGCUCAAGCAAUCCUCCUGCCUCGAUCAUUUGUUUUUAAAUGAGCCUGUAUUGCCUGUAAUUUUCAAGACGGUAUAGAGCUUACAGAAAAAGUAUGAAAAGUGCAAGUGUUUUUUUAGAUAGCAACUAUUGCUUAGCACUCAACAUAUUUCCUUUAUCCGUCUUCCCUUCCCCCUUCCUUUCCUCCUUCCUCCUCCCUCCCUUUCUUCCUUUUUUCAAAUUAACCUUUAGGCCAGUUGCUUAGGCCAGUUGCUGAUACUUGGCUGUGGUGUUUGCAUAGCUAGCUUGCCCUGAUGUAACUGUACAUGUAAUCAGCGUCUGCCACUUUGAUGGAAGUUUCCUAGUUUAGAAACACCUGUCUCUGGAUUAUAAUGAAACAACACAGAGGCUAAAUAAUAAAACCUCAGGGAAUCAAGACAUGUAAAGCCCAGAAUUUUAAAUAAAUAAGGUUUAUGGAACACUAAAAACAAAUAUAUUGGACUUUCCAUGGAGAAUACUUUAUCGUUGGUUAUACUGAAGAUAAAUGUUAACAACACAAAUAACAUGCAAAUACACACUCUUAGUAUCCAAACAUUGAUUUUAUUUGGCUUGCAGCAUUGAUGUUGUAAUGCUAGCAUUCACUGACAUUUAAUUUGUGGUAUAAUAUUGUCCCAACUGCUGCCUGCCUUUACACUAUAUAAUAUGAACUAUUGUCAAAAGUGUCUUUGAGAUGCCUUAUGGGGCAUUUAUUAAAUUUAUUGCAUUUAUGGAAAAUAGAGCCUGGUGAAUACAGAACAAAUAUAACUUAUUUUUGUGUUCUUAAGCAAAACAGCUUAGCAGUACUUUCAGAAACUUUCUUACGCUCCUCAUUCCACCACAGGUUUCAUCUCGAAAGGCUUCUGGCCUUCCUUCCCGAUUUCCCCCACAGUAGCCUUAAAAUAGCAAAUACCAUAAGGAGUAAAGAUAAAGACUUUGGAAGAAGGAAAGAUGCUUUAUGUCUCAUACCAAUCACACUGCGUCUCAUACAAUUUUUUAAGUGUACUAUUUACUAAAAUUUAGUUCACUAAUUUCAAAACAAAUUCCAAAAAAUGUUAUUUUUAAAUAACCAGUGAAGUUCACUAUUUCAAGGGAAACAUCGCCUAGCAGCCUACCUCUAUUUCUUACCCAAUUUGUCUUUAUACAUCUAUAGCAUAAUCUAUAUAUUUAUGGAUGAGGUCAGCUUAAAGUAAGGUAAAUGUAUAUUCUGAUUCAGCAGUUAUUGAAAUUAAAUUCCACUAAACAAAGCACCUUUUUACCUGAUGCACACUUUAUUAUGUAUUUAAACAUAGGCAAAUCAUUAAGUUAAUUAUAUUAUCUUAAAUUUAAAUCACUGAACUUAUCUGUAUUUUGAUUUAAUUAAAUUAAUUAAUUUAGUUUUUAUUUUUUAGAGACAAGAUCUCACUCUGUUACCUAGGCUGGAGUGCGGUGGCACAAUCAUGGCUCACUACAGCCUAGACCAACUGGGCUCAAGUGAUCCUUCCACCUCAGCCCUCAAAGUAUCUGGGAAUACAGGCACAUGCCACCAGGCCUGGCUAAUUUUUAAUUUUUUUAUUUUUGGUAGAGAUGGGGUCUUGCUUUGUAGCUGAGGCUGGUCUUAAACUUCUAGCCUCAAACAAUCUUCCUGCCUGGGCCUCCCAAAGUACUGGGAUUACAGGUGUGAGCCACCCUGCUCGACUUGAUUUAACUUUAGAGAUUAAAGGGAACUUCGAGAUUGUCUAGUCUAAAAUGUUUUAGAGAUAGUUUGCCCCUUACUAUUCCAUGUAGUAAAGAAAAUGAUGCCAAAUAUAUGCUACAUUGAAUAUAGAAAAAUAUUAUAAAAUAAUGUAUAUACAAGUCAUGUAAAUGUUAUAAGAUUAUAUAUAUUAAGCAAAAAAUUAAAGCUGAAUCAUGCACUGUAGACAUUUAACAAGUUUGACAUUAGGAACCUUAAAAUGGGUACUUUUUGGUUUUCAAGCAUGAGGUGUAUCUUUUAAAGAUAUCUCUGUGUCCAAAGAGAAGAGAUGAUGACACUAUAGACCUAUACUAACGUAAGAAAUUGUUGAGUUGUUAUAUUGAGCUUUUACUUUAAUUUCUGUAUUUUACCAUUAGCAAGGUUGAAUAAUUUUUUGGCUUAAGUUUAUAUUUCCUUUUUUAAAAUUUCCUGUUUGUAUCUGUGAUGCUUCAUUUUAUGUGUCAACUGAUGAGGCAAUGGUACCCAGUUAUGAGGGCAAACACCAGUCUAGAUGUUGCUGUGAGGGUAUUUGUAAGAUGAAAUUGACAUUUAAAUACACAGAAUUUGAGCAAAGUUGAUUACCUUCCAUAAUGUGGGUGGACUUCAAUCUCUUGAAAAGGCCCUUUAUAGAAAACCCUGAGGUUUUCCAAAGAAGGGGUGAUUCUGCUUCAAAACUGCAACCCUGUCUGAGUUUCCAGCCUGCAAACACCAGAUUCAAAGCUGCUUCAGAACUGCAACCCUACCUGAGUUUCCAGCCCGCAAACACCAGAUUCAAAGCUGCAGCAUCAACUCCUCCCUGAGUCUUCAGCCUGACAGGCUGCUCUACAGAUUUCAGAUUUGCCAGCCCCUACAAUUCUGUGAAUCAGUUCCUUAAAAUAAACAUUUCUCUCUAUAUUUAUGCAAAUGGAUAAAUGAUGGAUAGCUGUAGAUUUCACUACAUAGAUAUAGAUAUAUAGAUCAAGGAGAUCUCCUAUUGGUUCAAUAAAUCUAUUGGUUUUGUUUCUUUGAAGAGCCCUAAACAGUAUUUUUGCUUACUUUUUAAAAUUAGUAUAUUCACCUAUUUCUUACUGAGAAAAUUUACUUAAUAAAAUGAUUAGCCCUUUAAAUGUCUCAUGAUGCUAGUAUUUUUCUCAUCGUUUGUGGUUUGCUUUUUUGUUUUCCAACAAUAGAAGUGUUUACAUUUUUAGAAAGCAUUUAUUUCUUUGAAUUUGUUCCUGUACAGCUAUUCCCCGUUACAAGAUACAGACAUAUUCCUCUGUAUAUUUCCUUCUAAGUAUUGUUUUAUUUGUUACAUAUAAUUUAGUAAUCUGUGGAAUUUACUUUGAUAUAUGAUAGAAGAUAAAAAUGUAUACUUUUACUUACAUAGUUUAUCAAUUGUUUCACCACCAUUAAAAAACAACUUACAGAUUUGAAACGGUUAUUUUAGCUAGGGCUGCCAAAUUUAGCUAAUAAAAAGAAA